rnacentral:lncRNA from 1 species
GGUCGGGGGAAAAAAGUUGGGCCGAAGGAGGGGCCGGGAAGACGCAAGAGGAAGAAGAGAAAACGGCCGGGCGGCGGUGGCUGUAGGUUGUGCGGCUGCAGCGGCUCUUCCCUGGGCGGACGAUGGACAGCCAGGGCAGGAAGGUGGUGGUGUGCGACAACGGCACCGGGUUUGUGAAGUGUGGAUAUGCAGGCUCUAACUUUCCAGAACACAUCUUCCCAGCUUUGGUUGGAAGACCUAUUAUCAGAUCAACCACCAAAGUGGGAAACAUUGAAAUCAAGUGAGGAUUUUAUUUAGGCCUUUUCUGACUCUUACUUCUACCUUCUCUCUCUUCACCUUUCUUGACCCGUUGAAGUAGAAUAACAAAAAGAUGGAUCUUAUGGUUGGUGAUGAGGCAAGUGAAUUACGAUCAAUGUUAGAAGUUAACUACCCUAUGGAAAAUGGCAUAGUACGAAAUUGGGAUGACAUGAAACACCUGUGGGACUACACAUUUGGACCAGAGAAACUUAAUAUAGAUACCAGAAAUUGUAAAAUCUUACUCACAGAACCUCCUAUGAACCCAACCAAAAACAGAGAGAAGAUUGUAG